rnacentral:rRNA from 1 species
AUGGAGGCCAUAAUCCACGGCGAGGCCGCCGCCGUCCCAGAUCCAAUCUCCCAUGACAUAGUCCUAGGUGGACACCAACAGCCAACACCAUGGGUUGUAGCUAGCUGGCAACCUGGGCGGCCGCCGAUCAUGUGCAUGCAUGUCCACGCAUGUGUAUGCAUAUGCCUCCAUGAACCAGUCCCGUGUGCUUCCCCUGAUCAUACUCCAUGCUAUCGAGAUCAUCCAAAUCGGAGCCUGAAUCACCAGUUAGUUGCCAGAUCUGAAAAGAUCGGGAAACUAGCAACAUGGGAAGACGAGGCCAGAUCGGGAGACACCAUGCCAUGGACAGAUCAGGAAGCGAGCGACAUGGGACAACGACAGGCAGAUCAGAAGGCAAUCAACUGA